UUUUAUUAGUAAAAUGAGGUGGAUUUUUUUGUCAUUUAAAAUAGACAAUGAAAAUAAAGACAAAGUAGAACUUUGUGCUAGACACUAAUUCAUGAAAGUAAACAACAGUUGAAUGAGUUUUUAACCUAUUUUGAUAUAUGGGUGGGAUUUUUAAAAUAAAAGACAUUGUUUUUUGAAGCCAUUUAUAUUUCAUUACAUUCAUUUCAUUUCAUUCAUUUAAAAAAAAAAAUAUAUGGAACAAAAGGCUCAAAAUAAAGCACAUAACAAGAUUACAAUAGGUAUGACUCAAGAACCUGGGCGCUCUCGUAACUGAUCGGCAGAUGUCUCCAUUGGAAAUUGCAAAUGAAUUCAGUUCAAAAUUAAAAUGCUUUUGGAGUCAUUCACUAGGGACUGGAAUUCAGCCUUUAAAUACACAUGGGAAACCAUCAAAUGUGAGUCAAUAAAACAACGCAUGAAAAGCCACUCAUCCUGGCGAGACUCUUCUACACCAGCUUUUGAGAAAGCACUUCAGAGGGUUUGCAAUAGCACAAAUUCCACAGCCAGCAUAAAAACAGAUUGUGUUAGCAAUAACCUUUCCUCCUUUUUCUUAUCCUGUACCAGCAAGAUGAUGUUAAAUAGAAUAGCACUUAAUAAAUUAAUUUACUUAUUAAAUAAAAAAGUUUCUACCUGUAAAAAGUUAUAGUUUUAAAGCUAUACUUUAACCAUAGAUGCACUUCAGCUGCUUCCAAGGCUGAACUGUGAAGUGGGUUUGUUACCGUAACCAAUGUCCUGAGUCUCUGAAGCAGAAAAGCCAGGGUGGGGACUCGGCUCCAGACCGAGACAAUGUAGACGUGCUUGCACAGGAGUCUCAGCUCCCUGCAGCUGGUAGAGGUCUGGCCACCCAAGCUCACGGAGCCCAAGGCAUGGGACAUCCCUCUGCCUUAGGGCACUCUAAUCCCCUAUGCUUUACCAGCUGUACUUACUGCACAGUAAUGUCCAAUGCCAUCUCAGAUGUUUAAGGCAUUGGGCAGAGGACAGAUGUGACACAAGACAUACUAGGGAGCCAUCCAUUAAGGUAUGGGUGGGUGGAUGAAUAUCCCUUGGCUUCCACUAAGUAUAAUGGAGACUACAGUGAAGAUGAGUGCUGUGAGAUGUGUGAAUGUACAUCCUAGCCCAGCUGGCAUUUUAAAUCUCUUUAAAGUGACAUUUUUGCUUGGGACUGUAAUUAGGCAGUAUCCACCUUCUUAAAGAUAAAGGUAGAAAGGAAGAGAAGAGGAAUUCAUACAAGUCUCGACAGUUUCUUUUGCAAAUAGUUUCUCUCAAAAGACAAAAUCCUGGAUUUCCUUCUUACGUGUAAAAGUCUGUACUUCAAUGAUUGCUUUACACUCAACUAAAUCUAAGCUGGAACUAUACCAAAAUUCCUAAAGACAUUUUUCAUAAAUGAACAGUAUCAAUCUCCAUAUUUCACUGACAAAUGUUGAUAUUACAAAGCUCAGUCAUACAAAAAGGCAAGGAAAAUUAACCAGUUAUAGCACUUUGUAAACAUUUUAUUUUAAGGUCAAUCACCACAGUCCAUUUCUUCUGUCUGGUUUGUAAAUUUAUGCUUUGGUUAUUAACUGCAGUAAUUUUGCUAGAAGGGAGUCCUCUGCUAUGGGCCAGAGAUACUCUGCCACUGACUUACCAGUAUUAAACUUUUAAUGUUCUCAUAAUCUAUUCAAAGUAGACACAUUUUUUCCCCAGACUGUUGUCCAUUUACAACAAAUUUUACACAUCUCUUAUUACGACAGUUAAGAUCUUAAAUCUAGUUUUCUGGGAAAUAGCACAAUCAUUUCUUUUUCUUUAAUUUAAAAUGCUUCAUAUGCUAUUAAAUCAAAAUCUUCUGUAACAAAAUGUUUGACCUUAUGAAGUCCUUCAGUCUCUGUGAGUCAAUCUGUUCUAUCCUGCUGAGUUCACUCAAUCUAGCUAACUUUUUUAAGCACAUGAAGAGAUUAUAACUUCAUACUUGAAUGAAACUAUCCAGUGCAACCUUAUUGCUUCCGUAGUUAAUCAGCUCACUGCCACACAGCUCCAUUUGUCCGGAACAACAAGGGCUUGCCCUACCAAGCACAGCUACAUCUUCCUUUGGAUUCAUUUUUUCCACAGAAUUGUCCACAUGGCUAAUCUAAGAAUGAACAAUAUGUCUGACACCAUCUUAGAAUAGUCUAUAGUUGGCCUUGUAGCAUUUGCACUCCCAAUGCUUCAUCUGUUUUAUAUUCUUACAUUGUUCUAUCAAAUAAAGAAGCAACUGUGACACAACUUCUAGGGGUUUCUGAUGCUGACAACAAUAUGGGAGGUUCCUGUCACUUAAAUUUGGAUUUCUGUUGUAUUGAGAUUCACAGCUAACCUACUCACCGUAGUUCCUUCUAAAAUCAGUGGCAAGAAACAGUGACUUAGAGACAAAUCACCUGUCUAGCUUAGAUGGCCACUGCAGAGUAAGAUGACUAAUGUCCCCAUAGUGCCUGUUUCUGUUCCCAGAGCAGAAAGGAAGCCAAGGGGGACCAGCUCAGCUGCUUGCCACAACUCUUUUUCAUAACUGAAUAUGACAGACGUCUUUCAAAAUUCCUCUGGAUGAAUAGCAGCUAAUGUCAGAAAAUUGGACCUUCAGAAGUACGUUUCAUGUCAGUGUCAGUCCUUGGAAAAUGGGGCACUUGAAGGCACGUCUGUGUGUGAAUGCCUCAGCUUCCAGCCAGUCACCCAAAUUCCCCACACAGAAAAAAUUAAGUACCUAAAAUUAACGGAGGAAUUCCAUCUAUGGAUAAAAUACAGAAGAAAAACCUAAAAUUUCCUGGGUUUAAAAAUGUAAAAUAGCAAUAACUAAGUCCGCCAGAAAUAUUUCUCAAGAUAAAAAGUGCAACAGUUCUUGAAUCCUGCAUAUACUGCUCAGUUACAGUUUUUCAGCAGAGAACAAAUAAACAUUCCACACUAAGCAAAAAGUACUUUAGAUUAUCACACUUAUUUGACAAAUUCUUCAGUGCGAAUCUGAAUUUCAUAUUCAUGCUAACUCUUUAGUCAAACUUCAAUUAGAAGCUUGUAUAUACUUUUAUAAUCUCAUUGAAAACUGCAGCUAAAGCAGCUUUACUUUGUGAAACAUCCCAGUUUACUUUGGUUGAACUCUGAUAGAUUAUGACUGAAGACUUUUUCAAGAGUUCACUACAUCUUAGCCUUCCUUAAGCGAAUGUUAUGACAAAGCUGCCUGUGUGAGUGAAUUACGACUACUGAUUGGUCACUAGUUCCUAUGAUAUUACUUAUUACACGCUCAGUGAUAAAUUAAAGUACUUAACAAGAAAAAGUCAUAUCCAAGACCUUUAUUAUGGAAUUUAAAGAUAGUAAACUUUCAUUUGCAGAGAGAAAAUAAUGAGUUUGGUGAGCAAGCAGAUGGAAUAUUUCAACAAAUCCACUAUUCACAUCAAAAUGAAGAAUUUACUUAAUCUUUCUAAAAAUUAAGACUAGCAGAAUAAAACAGCUUUUAAAUUUAUUUAUUUUUUAAUCUAGACCUUAUUAAUGUUCAUAUUCUUCAUCUUAACAGAUAAUGCUGUCAGUAUUUAUUGAUUCAAUCUUCUGAUAAUUACAUCAUCCUUUCAGCAUGUCAGAGAACGUCAAGGUGACUGUGAUGACAUGAGACUGGUGUACGACUCUAAUGUCAUAAUAUAUUUGUGUCAAUUUUUUGUCCACAAACAGACUUGUAACAACUCUCAAAUUUGAUCUUAGAAGAGCAAAAUACUGACUUUAUUAAUAAUCUGCUAUGUAACAAUGCUCAUUACUUGCUGUAAGGCUGCCAAAGUAACAUUGUCAAGUAAUUAUUUAAAUAGUUUUAUUUAAAUGAAGUAGAACUCAACUUAGUAUUUACACAAGUGCUGUAUCUUUCCAGAACACCAUUGGGUCUUUCAAUAUUCAACUGUUUAAUUUGAUUUUAUCAGGGAAAAAUAUUCUCACACAGCUGCAAAACAUCUUUACUUUCCUUUACAGAUGUCUGAUACUAUAUUUGUUUAUCACCUGGAUUUCUCCUGAACAUUUGUUUCCUUCAAGAGUUCAACCAGCUCAAGCUUGGCUUUAUGAAGACAAAUGCUUUGGUUAUAACCUGCCUUUGAUUUUAAUAAUUACAUUAUUUUUCCUAAGGGUUGAAAUGAGGCCAGGAUUACAGCAUAUUGAUUCAUCUGACAAAUGUAAAAAAAUUAAAAAAAUAAAAUCCUACUUUGUGGGUUUUAAUGUCUUGAAGUUAUCUUGAAGUUAAAGAGCAUACUUUCUUUUCACAAGGAUUCAUAUGACAGGAGUGUAGCAGUUCAUAAAAUAUAAUUAAACUCAGUCAUUAGAUAAACUAAUAAAAUAUAAACAGAUUUUGUUAGUAAGAAAAACAAACAAACAACAACAUUUUUUUCUUCUUUUCCUUCAAUAGCUUUAUAAGGUGCAAAGACAUACCUGGAUUGGCAUGAGCACCCUGUAAUGAUGGAUUUUAUUCAGUAAUAAAAUCCAGCUGGGCAGAACUGAGGAACACCCAUGUCUCAGGGAAUAAGAAACUCAUGUGAGGGACUGCACUUCUUUCUUGCAGUUUUGUAGUAAGGACUAUUGGAUUGAACUCACUUUAGGACAGAGUCGGACUCCUGCAAGUUUGCAGGUUACACAGAAGUUGGAGGACUCUCUGAACAGCCAGAGAGAUGUGCUGCCAUUCAGAGGGACCUCAAUAGGCUCGAGAGGUGGUCUGAUAGGAACCUCAUCAAGUUCAACAAGAAGUACAGGGUCCUGUACCUGGGGAGGAACAACUCAAGGCACCAGGACAUGUUGGAGCCACCCAGCUGGAAACAGCUCUGCAGAACAGGACCUGGUGCCAAGUCUGACAUAUAGGGUCUGACACGUGGAAUGAACUGGAACUUCUCAACAUACAAAUUGCAGUACAGUACUGGGUGUCUCUAAAAGCCAGAUCACAGCUCUCUUAAGGUGGAUGCCAAACUUACAGGAUACUGCUUGAUCUUAAUCAUUUGUUUUAUUUUCUGAUUGGUAAAUGGAGAUAAAACCACAAGUGUCACUGUACAUGUUUCCUUUUGUUUUUACAUAAAAAUAAAGAUUUGGAAUGUGCUGGUUAACAGCAUUCAAAAUGCAGCAAUUGAAGAUGGUAUUUGAAAAUUGAGUGAAAUAAGGAGAAUGAGAAAGAAACACAUAUGUAAAAAUGUGUACUUGUGUAUAUAUAUAUAAAUUAUUCCACAUUACUAAAAAGACCUAUAAUUUGCACAUUUUUAAAAAUAUUACUUACUGCGUUCAAUAGCUAUUAGUACAGAUAAAAAAUCCCCAACCUGUCACAAUGAAUAUUUUAAUCUCUUAAUAUAUUUUUUAUGAAAUCCAUACCUUAUUGGGAUCAGAUUCCUCUCAGGAAUAUGAACCAGCCAAAAAAAAAUGAUAACUUCACAAAGUUUUACAUCAGUUUUUUACUACAUGCCUUUUAUUAAAAAUUAAAAUUCAAUAAUAAUACAAAAAAAUCACAUUAAAAUUCUAUGAUGCUGUAAGGUUUUCCCUUACUAUUUUCUAGCCAUCCCGGGGAAGAAAACCACAUGUAUAUAAGACCUGAAAAACCAUCACUACAGAAUAAACAUUCUUGUUUAAUUAGACCAGAAUGGGCCUCAACACAUCAAUUAGCACUUUACUUUUGGCUAUGUAGAACUGCCUCUAAAGGCAUUUUCUUGUUUGAAAACUGCAGGGGCCCUUUUAUAAGCACUACCACACUGUAAAAUUUUCCUCUGUUUCCACCACAGUGACCACCUAUCCUUCCAUCUGCAAAACAUUAAGUGUUGCUUGUAGUGUUGAACUGCCAUCUGCACCUGCUAUUCAAAACUAACAAAUACAAAAAAUAUUACACAUGCCACACAUUUACGUAGGCUCAUUCUACUUUUCAACCUUGGCCACCUUGACAACACCAUUACUAAUAGGUUCUAUAGGUAUAUUUGUAAGGUUAAAAGCUUGAAUUAUUAUACUGUCAUCAUUAUAAUUCACCAAAGAUGUUUGAAAUAUAUCAUGGAGCAGAUGCCAUCAUUCACUUUUAUGUAUGUUAAAUUGCAGUGUAACUCAGGGCUUUUCAGCAGAUUAGGCAAAAUUGGAUUUUGAUGUCCAAGACCCAGGGCUGAUAAGCUGUUCCUGCCCCAGCAGGCAGUUGGGUUAAAACUGACAAGUACAAGAGUACUUGAAGAAAUGGGUGAAGGUGUUCAAGGUGAUGGGGCUGGAUUGCACAACACCCAAACCAGGCCAAUUUAAGUAUUUUCAGCAUUUCUUGUUCCUCCACCCUUGGGUCACUACUGUCUGCCUCAGCCGUGUAAGUGUGGGGAAUCUUCCUUCUCAGCAGGUGGACACAGUUCCUUGUUGGGUCAGCAACAGUUAAUGUCUUUGCCACUUGAAUUAAUAAAGCUUAAGCCCUUUGUCUAAGACACAUACGAUAGUCAUUUUAUUUUUAUUUUUUUGUAGAAACGGUCAACUUUUGGCCAUAAAUACAUAUAAGUGGUAAUUAAACAAACAUCUUGACAGACAAACUUUGAAAGUUUUGUGGUUGCUAUAACUUUGUUACAUGCAUUUGGCAGAGGGGAGUAUCUUAAAAUUAAACUCAAAUGUAAACUUUCUUGACCGAUGUCAGUUUGGCACCAACUCACUAUUUAAUUGACUGUUAACAAAUUCUCCAAGAUAUGACUGCUAUACAGAUAUUUUAUCUUCCUGUUAAUUGGUAAUUAUGCAUUGGCAGGAAAAACAGUGUUUCUUUCCAAUUAUUCCAGAACUCAGUGAUUAUUUAAACUUUGCUAAUUAGCAGCGGAGGGUUGGUACAACUUCUGGGCAAAUUGUAUUUGAUAAUCCCUAUUAAAAUAUACAUGGCAGUAGUUGACUUGUAACAAACUAGAAAAAAAAAAAGUGGCAGUUCAAAGGGUAUUAGAUACAGCACAAGGCAAAUGGGGGCCUAUUAAAAUUUCCCCAACUGUUCUAAUGAGAAUGCCGAGGGUCAUUUCUUCCUAGUUUACCAUCUGUUUGGUUUCUGGCAAAUAUCUCCGGUGUGAAGGGAGGGUCCUGGAGCCCAUUUGGCUUGUCACAAAGUAAACCAGGGAUCCACAGCAAUUUCAGUAAGUUAUAGAACUGCACUUCAAGAGCAGUCGUAUGUACAUAGCUGAAAACUUAUUCUCAGGAGCUGGCAUUUGCCGAUUAUUCCUUACUUUUUAAGGCUGUGAGCAAGCAUGGAGAGGCAAAGACUGAGCAGGAGGGAGCAGAUUUGUGGGCUCACCUAACAAUAAAAAUCCAACAGUUGGCCUUUUUCCAUCUUAAAAUGUCAGCGGGGGAUAUUUUCUUUUAUCUGUCGCAAUCUGCAAGCAAAACAUUGCCCCAGAACCAACAGUGUUUAAGCACGAAAUGAUGCCAAAACUGAGCCUCUGGAGGCUCCAAACCACAUGCCCAGUGC